rnacentral:rRNA from 1 species
CCUACGGGUGGCAGCAGUGAGGAAUAUUGGUCAAUGGACGAGAGUCUGAACCAGCCAAGUAGCGUGAAGGAUGACUGCCCUAUGGGUUGUAAACUUCUUUUAUAUGGGAAUAAAAUGUUUCACGUGAGGGAUUUUGUAUGUACCAUAUGAAUAAGGAUCGGCUAACUCCGUGCCAGCAGCCGCGGUAAUACGGAGGAUCCGAGCGUUAUCCGGAUUUAUUGGGUUUAAAGGGAGCGUAGGUGGAUUGUUAAGUCAGUUGUGAAAGUUUGCGGCUCAACCGUAAAAUUGCAGUUGAAACUGGCAGUCUUGAGUACAGUAGAGGAGGGCGGAAUUCGUGGUGUAGCGGUGAAAUGCUUAGAUAUCACGAAGAACUCCGAUUGCGAAGGCAGUUCACUGGACUGCAACUGACACUGAGGCUCGAAAGUGUGGGUAUCAAACAGGAUUAGAUACCCCAGUAGUC